GGUAAGUGGCUUUGAUGAGAUCUCCCUCCUGGUAGUGAGCAACAUCUAUUUUGGGUGCGACUACAUUUUGUGGUUCGAUAAAGCUCAUAACGCGAUUGAACAAGAAAAUAACGUCUGCCAUUUAAAAAAAGCGCGCUUAUAUGCACCCGACUGUUUUUCGUUAAUGCUGCUCCGCUGACAGUCUACGUAAAUAAAAUAAAAAACCAGUCAGCUCUGUUUUGUGAAUUUUGGCCAAUGAAACUAUCUCUUACAUUUUGGGUUAGGCUGGGUAGAUUUUCAGAGACCCGUAUGAUGCGAUGCUGAAAUAAGCUUUGGAAUUUAAUUUUUCAACUUAAAAUUAAUCCCUCCUUACUAAAUUCAUAUCUUCAUGUUAAGUCAAAUGACACAUCGAAAGGAAAACCAUCUUCACGUAUAGGAAAAUGGUCCACUGAAGCGUGUGAAGAAACUGUAUUUUGAUGAUGAAACACUUCCAGUGCCACGUUCUACGCACUAUUGGAGACAGAUUUAAUGUAGAAAAACUACACAAAUAUCUGAAUAAUGUUAUGAAAAAGAUGGAUGAAAUCCACCCAUUACAGUAACCAGAAGCUCCUGUAGUUAGUUACCUAAUUCCAGUUUAGUUCUCUGAGAUUCUUGUGAUAGUGAAUGUUGAGGAACUCUGUGAAGUCCUAGUGUUUUAAUUGACACAAGAUUACAUGCAAAUUCAGAAGACACUAAGUAUGCAGAAUUCCGAACAGAUACAGUAAAAAAAAAUAAUAAUAAUGUGUAAUUUGGUGACAAAUUAUAGUCAGUUAUAUACAUGUAUAUGUAUGUGUGUAGCAGAAGAUUUUGUAAGGACUUAAAGGAGAAGUACUUUUUGGUAUUUCAGGGAUCAUUUUCUCCAGUUCUCCAUAAAACCUUAUGUUUGGAUACUCACGUUGUUUCUAGUGAGUACCCACAUAAUGUUUUAGGAUUAGAAAUAAGACAAAGUAUCCCAGACCUAUCAACAAACACUCCUCCUUAACAUUAGUCCUCUGUUUGUGUAUGAUAUAUAUAUAUCUCAUGAUAUGACAGCAAUAUCUUGCAGACACCACAGCAAGCAAAGUUUCAAUGUGAAAAUUGUUUUGAAAUAUAAUUUGAAAGAAGUCAAA